rnacentral:rRNA from 1 species
AACGAACGCUGGCGGCAGGCUUAACACAUGCAAGUCGAGCGCCCCGCCAGGGGAGCGGCAGACGGGUGAGUAACGCGUGGGAACGUACCUUUUUGUUCGGAACAACUUCGGGAAACUGGAGCUAAUACCGGAUAAGCCCUAAUGCGGGAAGAUUUCUCGCCCAAAGAUCGGCCCGCGUCUGAUUAGCUGGUUGGUGAGGUAACCGCUCACCAAAGCGACGAUCAGUAGCUGGUCUGAGUGAACGAUCCGCCACACUGGGACUGAGACACGGCCCAGACUCGUACGGGAGGCAGCAGUGGGGAAUAUUGGACAAUGGACGCAAGCGUGACACAGCCAUGCCGCGUGAGUGAUGAAGGCCUUAGGGUUGUAAAGCUCUUUUGUCCGGGAAGAUAAUGACUGUACCGGAAGAAUAAGCCCCGGCUAACUUCGUG